ensembl:snRNA U6 U6 spliceosomal RNA
GUACUCACUUUGUCAGCACACAUACAAAAAUUGGAACCAUAUAGAGAAGAUUAGCAUGGUCCCUGUGCGAGGACAAUUGGCAAAUCGUGAAGUGUUCUGGAGACCCUGUGUCU